rnacentral:rRNA from 1 species
CACUCCUACGGGAGGCAGCAGUGGGGAAUAUUGGACAAUGGGCGCAAGCCUGAUCCAGCCAUGCCGCGUGAGUGAUGAAGGCCCUAGGGUUGUAAAGCUCUUUCACCGGUGAAGAUAAUGACGGUAACCGGAGAAGAAGCCCCGGCUAACUUCGUGCCAGCAGCCGCGGUAAUACGAAGGGGGCUAGCGUUGUUCGGAUUUACUGGGCGUAAAGCGCACGUAGGCGGACUAUUAAGUCAGGGGUGAAAUCCCGGGGCUCAACCCCGGAACUGCCUUUGAUACUGGUAGUCUUGAGUUCGAGAGAGGUGAGUGGAAUUCCGAGUGUAGAGGUGAAAUUCGUAGAUAUUCGGAGGAACACCAGUGGCGAAGGCGGCUCACUGGCUCGAUACUGACGCUGAGGUGCGAAAGCGUGGGGAGCAAACAGGAUUAGAAACCCCUGUAGUCCCAU